rnacentral:rRNA from 1 species
GAUGAACGCUGGCGGCGUGCCUAAUACAUGCAAGUCGAGCGAACAGACGAGGAGCUUGCUCCUCUGACGUUAGCGGCGGACGGGUGAGUAACACGUGGAUAACCUACCUAUAAGACUGGGAUAACUUCGGGAAACCGGAGCUAAUACCGGAUAAUAUAUUGAACCGCAUGGUUCAAUAGUGAAAGACGGUUUUGCUGUCACUUAUAGAUGGAUCCGCGCCGCAUUAGCUAGUUGGUAAGGUAACGGCUUACCAAGGCAACGAUGCGUAGCCGACCUGAGAGGGUGAUCGGCCACACUGGAACUGAGACACGGUCCAGACUCCUACGGGAGGCAGCAGUAGGGAAUUUUCCGCAAUGGGCGAAAGCCUGACGGAGCCACGCCGCGUGAGUGAUGAAGGUCUUCGGAUCGUAAAACUCUGUUAUUAGGGAAGAACAAAUGUGUAAGUAACUAUGCACGUCUUGACGGUACCUAAUCAGAAAGCCACGGCUAACUACGUG